CCAGUGGUUUUGCCAUGGGCGCAGCCUGAUGCAGCCAUGCCGCGUGUGUGAAGAAGGCCUUCGGGUUGUAAAGCACUUUCAGUCAGGAGGAAAGGUUAACGGUUAAUACCCGUUAGCUGUGACGUUACUGACAGAAGAAGCACCGGCUAACUCCGUGCCAGCAGCCGCGGUAAUACGGAGGGUGCGAGCGUUAAUCGGAAUUACUGGGCGUAAAGCGUACGCAGGCGGUUUGUUAAGCGAGAUGUGAAAGCCCCGGGCUCAACCUGGGAACUGCAUUUCGAACUGGCAAACUAGAGUGUGAUAGAGGGUGGUAGAAUUUCAGGUGUAGCGGUGAAAUGCGUAGAGAUCUGAAGGAAUACCGAUGGCGAAGGCAGCCACCUGGGUCAACACUGACGCUCAUGUACGAAAGCGUGGGGAGCAAACGGGAUUAGAUACCCCGGUAGUCCACGCCGUAAACGAUGUCUACUAGAAGCUCGGAGCCUCGGUUCUGUUUUUCAAAGCUAACGCAUUAAGUAGACCGCCUGGGGAGUACGGCCGCAAGGUUAAAACUCAAAUGAAUUGACGGGGGCCCGCACAAGCGGUGGAGCAUGUGGUUUAAUUCGAUGCAACGCGAAGAACCUUACCUACACUUGACAUACAGAGAACUUACCAGAGAUGGUUUGGUGCCUUCGGGAACUCUGAUACAGGUGCUGCAUGGCUGUCGUCAGCUCGUGUUGUGAGAUGUUGGGUUAAGUCCCGCAACGAGCGCAACCCCUAUCCUUAGUUGCUAGCAGGUAAUGCUGAGAACUCUAAAGGAGACUGCCGGUGAUAAACCGGAGGAAGGUGGGGACGACGUCAAGUCAUCAUGGCCCUUACGUGUAGGGCUACACACGUGCUACAAUGGCGCAUACAGAGUGCUGCGAACUCGCGAGAGUAAGCGAAUCACUUAAAGUGCGUCGUAGUCCGGGAUUGGAGUCUGCAACUCGACUCCAUGAAGUCGGAAUC
rnacentral:rRNA from 1 species